rnacentral:rRNA from 1 species
UGGGGAAUUUUCCGCAAUGGGCGAAAGCCUGACGGAGCAAUGCCGCGUGGAGGUGGAAGGCCUACGGGUCGUCAACUUCUUUUCUCGGAGAAGAAGCAAUGGCGGUAUCUGAGGAAUAAGCAUCGGCUAACUCUGUGCCAG